UACGGGGGGAGCAAGCGUUGUUCGGAUUUACUGGGCGUAAAGGGCGCGUAGGCGGUCAGCACAAGUCAGUUGUGAAAUCUCCGGGCUUAACUCGGAAAGGUCAACCGAUACUGCGGGGCUAGAGUGCAGAAGGGGCAACUGGAAUUCUCGGUGUAGCGGUGAAAUGCGUAGAUAUCGAGAGGAACACCUGCGGCGAAGGCGGGUUGCCUGGGCUGACACUGACGCUGAUGCGCGAAAGCCAGGGAGCGAACGGG
rnacentral:rRNA from 1 species